rnacentral:lncRNA from 1 species
GAUCUCACUAUUUGGUGUGUAUUUUGCAAGUUUGUACCUGAACAUAUUUAAUAAAGCCAAGGUUCUACGUGGGGUUGCUGGUUAGUUCUCUUAGAAAUAUCUAUUUUAUGUGUUCCUGUAUUAUAUUUAAGGAUAUCGGCAGUAAAAGUUCUGUUUAUCUGGUAGAAAAUAACUUGUAAAACCCUUAGUGUUGUUUAUCUUGUGACCUUUCGAUCUCCCCCCCCCAAAAAAAAACCCCAAAAUAUGUCCCCCUCUUCGGAGAUUUCUUCCACAUCCCUACGGUGGAAGGGUGGUGUUUAUCCCCCCAUCCUCAACAUUCCCUGUGGGUUCACUCCGGUUUACUGUGGAUUUUCAGUAGAGCGCGUUAUCAUGAAUCCACGGCGCGAAUCGAACACACGUUCUCAGAGUGAAAGGCGAUUGCUUUGACGAUUGUCACCGAAGCCUCUAGUAGCUCGAUCUCUCUAACAGACCAACUAGAAAUUUUAUUGCCGAUGUCUUUAUACUGAAGUCGGUUGUUAUAAAUAUAUUCUUUAGAAAAUGCAACAUAUUUCUCAACCCUGCCGAGGCUUAUACAUUUUAUAAUGUUUUUUUGUUUAGGGUCGUUCAUCGGUGCUUUUAUUCUUGCUGCCAUAUUCUCUGUUUUCUCUCUUAUACGUUUCAUGGAAAAUCAUAAGUAAGAGUUAUUCUCCUCGAGCUCGGAAACUAACUGAGACGCGCAGCGCCAAAGUGACUAAAUCACUUAGUUCCCUGUACUCUAACCUGGGAUGAUAGUUGGGAUCACAGGAUGAUAGUUGGGGUCACAGGAUGAUAGUUGGGAUCACAGGAUGAUAGUUGGGGUCACAGGAUGAUAGUUGGGAUCACAGGAUGAUAGUUGGGAUCAUGAGAUGAUAGAUACGUUCAGCUGAUGGUAGAGUUUGGAUGGUAGAGUUUGACAGAGCCCAGGCAUGGCUAUUGUCUUUUUUCGCCCAGACACGUUAUCAAGUGUUGAACGAGUUGAGGUGCUUGACAUUGUAAUUGCCUCUUUAGGGCGCAAUUCCAGUCCUCGCACGAAGCUCCUCGCUGCGAGUGCAUGCAUGAGCUCUUUCAUCCAG